GGCAACUUGCCAGAGUGGUUAAUGGGUCAGCCUCGAAUAUUUUUCUAGUUAGCUGAUGUCUUAGGACGCACAGGUUCGAAUCCUGUAGUUGUCG